GUUUUCCAGAGCCAUCGUAUAGCGUUAGAACCAUCUUACGAUGCAUCUUUAGUAGCCGAGGUGUUUCCCUGAGCCUUCGUUAGUAACGUGGCUCUUAAAACCCUUGCACAUCUUCGAGUGAUCCAGACCACUUAUAGAGCAGCCAAAGUGCACGGUUAGGCUGAAUCUUUUCGGUACAAAUUGGAAACACCUGGAACACUAUAAACGCCAAGCCAUUGUCAGACGUCAGAGGAACAACAAUAAUACAGCAUAUGGCUGCUAUUCAGCAGAUUGUUGCUCUCCGAGAUAACCGGCGAUGCCGGUUGGUGUAUUUAAAUGCGCAUAUUCUCAACAAACUGAGCCCAUUGCAGACUCAAUGAUGGGGCAGAAAUACAGGGUCCCACGAGACGAGAUACUCAGACUAGUCGACCUUGUUUCCCCUUCAAGCAGGUCGAGUUUUCUCCAGGUCCUUCGUGAUGGACACGCCAUCAUAACAUUUAACACUUCAUAACACUUCAUAACAUUUAAACACACAUAACACAUAACACAUCAUAACACUUCAAUGGCUGUGUGAAGUUGCUGAAUAUUGGCGGAACUAGAACACACUGCCGUACACGUCAAUCCAGAGCAUCCCAAACAUGCUCAAUGGGUGACAUGUCUGGUGAGAAUAUAGGCCAUGGAAGAACUGGGACAUUUUCAGCUUCCAGGAAUUGUGUACAGAUACUUGCAACAUGGGGCAGUGCAUUAUCAUGCUGAAAUAUGAAGUGAUGGCUGUGGAUGAAUGGCAUGACAAUGGGGCUCAGGUUCAGGAUCCUGGACAGCGUUGAUAAAAAAAAACGAGAGUGGUUCCAGCAUAGUGGACCCCAUCAUUGGCAUCUGCGUCAUUGGAGUGAUCACUGUCACAUGUCUGCUGGCCAUGUCAUUGGCUGGGAUGGAAUGGGAGUCCAAGGGAGGGCCUUCUCCCUCAGCUGUGGACACUGCCAGUAGCUACAGUCAUGUGACCUGACUGAACAAGUGGCGGAUCAAGUCCUUGUAUCAAGGUGUGGUGACAGAUGACCUGCACACUGGGUUUCAGAUGCUGCUCCAGGGUGCAGGUUUGGUCAGAUGUCCUCCUGAUGGGGUUAAAAAGGAACUUGCAUAAAAUCAAAUAAAAAAUCAAAUCAAAUUUUAUUGGUCACAUACACAUGGUUAGCAGAUGUUAAUGCGAGUGUAGCGAAAUGCUUGUGCUUCUAGUUCCGACCAUGCAGUAAUAUCUAACAAGUAAUCUAACAAUUUCACAACUACCUUAAAUACACAAGUGUAAAGGAAUGAAUAAGAAUAUGUACAUAUAAAUAUAUGGAUGAGUGAUGGCCGAACGGCAUAGGCAAGAUGCAGUAGAUGGUAUAGAGUACAGUAUAUACAUAUGAGAUGCGUAAUAUAGGGUAUGUAAACAUUAUAUAAAGUAGCAUUGUUUAAAGUGACUAGUGAUACAUUUAUUACAUCCAAUUUUUAAUUAUUAAAGUGGCUAGAGAUUUGAGUCAGUAUGUUGGCAGCAGCCACUCAAUGUUAGUGAUGGCUGUUUAACAGUCUGAUGGCCUUGAGAUAGAAACUGUUUUUCAGUCUCUCAGUCCCAGCUUUGAUGCACCUGUACUGUCCUCGCCUUCUGGAUGGUAGCGGGUGUGAACAGGCAGUGGCUCGGGUGGUCGUUGUCCUUGAUGAUCUUUUUGGCCUUCCUGUGACAUCGGGUGGUGUAGGUGUCCUGGAGAGCAGGUAGUUUGCCCCCGGUGAUGCGUUGUGCAGACCUCACUACCCUCUGGAGAGCCUUGCGGUUGUGUGCGGAGCAGUUGCCAUACCAGGCUGUGAUACAGCCCGACAGGAUGCUCUCGAUUGUGCAUCUGUAAAAGUUUGUGUGUGUUUUUGGUGACAAGCCAAAUUUCUUCAGCCUCCUGAGGUUGAAGAGGUGCUGUUGCGCCUUCUUCACCACAUUGUCUGUGUGGGUGGAUCAUUUCAGUUUGUCCUUGAUGUGUACGCCGAGGAACUUAAAACUUUCCACCUUCUCCACUACUGUUUCGUCGAUGUGGAUAGGGGGCUGCUCCCUCUGCUGUUUCCUAAAGUCCACGAUCAUCUCCUUUGUUUUGUUGACAUUGAGUGUGAGGUUAUUUUCCUGACACCACACUCCAAGGGCCCUCACCUCCUCCCUGUAGGCCGUCUCAUUGUUGUUGGUCAUCAAGCCUACCACUGUAGUGUCGUCUGCAAACUUGAUGAUUGAGUUGGAGGACAGACCAUCCUGCAUUGACAGCUACAUUGGCAUUCUACAGUGAGUGAAUCACUGUCAAAUCAGAAAGACGAGUUCCUUAUGGAUGUGUUAGUGAGAAUGAAGUUUAAUGUGUCUUUGUGGCUGUGUUUUAGUGACUCAUUUGACCUGCAGUAUGAAGUGUGAGGGCUGCGGAUGAGGGAGUUAACCCUUGGUUUGAGGCAAGCCCAGAAAGGGGUGUCAACACCUGUGUGCACCCCUGCAAAUGUUUUAUUUAUGUAUGAUAACAUUCAGAGUAUACAGUUUGUGGUCUAUGACGUUCAUUUUUUUUUAAAAAUAGUAUUGACAGAGGGAUGUUGUCUUAGUUACAAUAGACCCUGAUGCCAUGGUGACUGAGCCUCAGCCUCAUACUGUGUUUCAGUCCGAGCAGGGGGAAAAUACCAUUGAUGUGUACUGGCUGUUCGAUGAUGGAGUCAUGGCCCUCGUCGGCAAGUUCCGCCUUGGUUUCCAUGACGUCAAAGUGCUGCCUGAUAUCAAUGGAAGACCACAACAUGAACAGUCAGUGCUCUGUUGAGACACUUCCAUCUGCCUCGCUGACAAGUGUGAGGAGGUUUGAGGAUCUGAUAGGGACCUACAAGCUGAACACCGACUAGAAGCAUGCAGCUGAGCAGAUGAAGCAGGUCUGUCCCUGGGUGGUGUCUGGUGAGGAGAUGGAGAGAAAUAAGAUCAUUAACUGGGAUUCGAGGGCCCAAAGGGCAGUACCACUCUAUUGCCAAAAUGUCAAUUGUAGCAUAGCUAGAUGUGGAAUACAUGUUUUGGAAUUUUGACAGUAUCAUUGUUCUCUGGUUACUGUACCUCCAUAUAUGUGUUUUUGCUCCAGACCCUUCAACAGAUUCGUCUGAAUGAGGUUCUCCAAGAUUACUCAAGGGAUGCAGCCAUGAUUGUUAUGUACAUAUUUUGUAUUUACAAACCAGAUGUCUUUCUUGCAUUCAUUGACUUCAACCCACCCCAUCCCAUUACAAAGCCCAUAAAGGUGAGAGGGAUAUUGGAGUGAUAACUGAGCUAUGUUCUCUUAUUGACAGAGCUAUAAAAAUAGAGUCGCACACUAUAUAUAAACUCCCAGUAAUUUAUUGGGUAAAUCACCAACGUUUCGGCAUCACUGUGCCUUCUUCAAGGUAACGUCAUGAAUGCUUGAACCAGGUUAUGUAGACAAACAGUGCAAUUACUGCAACCAAUAAAAAUAGUGAGGGGUGUGUCAUAAUUAUUACGUUAAUUAGAAUGAAUUGAGUGAAACUGUUUAAAAACUAUAGGUUAUAGCAUAUAUA
rnacentral:lncRNA from 1 species